rnacentral:rRNA from 1 species
AGGUGCGAUCAUACCAGCACUAAUGCACCGGAUCCCAUCAGAACUCCGCAGUUAAGCGUGCUUGGGCGAGAGUAGUACUAGGAUGGGUGACCUCCUGGGAAGUCCUCGUGUUGCACUUCUUU